UAACAUUUGAAAUUCACAUGGAAUUCAUGACAGAUCACACUGCAACGCACUUCUUCGGGGAACAUAUCUAGGACAUAAAACCUGAGAUUAUUAGGAGGUGUAGGAUAAAAAAUAGUGGAGCAUGUGUCUGGGAUAGUAAUCUGCACCAAUCUUAAGUAACACUGGGAGAUGUAUGUCUCAGUGUUGACCCCACAACAAAGUUCUCCUUUUAACCUCUACACUACAUUAACACUAUAGGUAAAGAUUAACCCUACACUGCAUUAACACUAUAAUUAAACAUUAACUCCUACACUGCAUUAACACUAUAACUAAACACUAACCCCUACACUGCAUUAACACUAUUACUAAAUACUAACUCCUACACUGCAUUAACACUACCACUAACCCCUACGCCACGUUAACACAAUAACUAAACACUACAUUAAUACUAUC